rnacentral:rRNA from 1 species
UGGCAAAGGGUGAGUAACACGUGGGUAAUCUAUCCUUAGGUUCGGAAUAACUUUGCGAAAGCGAGGCUAAUACCGGAUAACGUCACAGGUACUACUGUACCAGUGACCAAAGGCGGGGACUCCAACAGAGCCUGUCACCAGAGGAGGAGCUCGCGUCCUAUCAGCUUGUUGGUAAGGUAAUGACUUACCAAGGCGAAGACGGGUAGCUGGUCUGAGAGGAUGGUCAGCCACACUGGGACUGAGACACUGCCCAGACUCCUACGGGAGGCUGCAGUCGAGAAUCUUUUGCAAUGGGCGAAAGCCUGACAAUGCGACGCCGCGUGAGCGACGAAGCCCUUCGGGGUGUAAAGCUCUGUCAGCCCGGAUGAAUAUUCAUUUUAAAAUAUAAGAUGAAGAUGACAGUACGGGCAAAGGAAGCCACGGCUAACUCCGUGCCAGCAGCCGCGGUAAUACGGAGGUGGCAAGCGUUGUACGGAUUUAUUGGGUGUAAAGGGUGUGUAGGUGUCUUGACAAGUCGAACGUGAAAUCCCUUGGCUUAACCAAGGAAGUGCAUUCGAUACUGUCGAGAUUGAGUAUGGAAGAGGAGAGUGGAAUUCCCGGUGUAAGGGUGAAAUCUGUAGAUAUCGGGAGGAACACCAGUGGCGAAAGCGGCUCUCUGGUCCAAUACUGACACUGAAACACGAAAGCUAGGGGAGCAAACAGGAUUAGAUACCCUGGUAGUCCUAGCAGUAAACGAUGAUCACUAGG